UACGAAGGGUGCAAACGUUGCUCGGAAUUAUUGGGCGUAAAGCGCACGUAGGCGGCUUUGCAAGUCGGAUGUGAAAUCCCUCGGCUCAACCAAGGAAGUGCAUCCGAAACUGCAGAGCUUGAGUACCAAAGAGGAUCGCGGAAUUCCCGGUGUAGAGGUGAAAUUCGUAGAUAUCGGGAGGAACACCAGUGGCGAAGGCGGCGAUCUGGGUGGAUACUGACGCUGAGGUGCGAAAGCGUGGGGAGCAAACGGG
rnacentral:rRNA from 1 species